GACGAACGCUGGCGGCGUGCUUAACACAUGCAAGUCGAACGGAAAGGCCUCUUUCGGGGGGUACUCGAGUGGCGAACGGGUGAGUAACACGUGAGUAACCUGCCCUUGACUUUGGGAUAACUUCAGGAAACUGGGGCUAAUACCGGAUAGGAGCUCCUGCUGCAUGUUGGGGGUUGGAAAGUUUCGGCGGUUGGGGAUGGACUCGCGGCUUAUCAGCUUGUUGGUGGGGUAGUGGCUUACCAAGGCGUUGACGGGUAGCCGGCCUGAGAGGGUGACCGGCGACAUUGGGACUGAGAUACGGCCCAGACUCCUACGGGAGGCAGCAGUGGGGAAUAUUGCACAAUGGGUGGAAGCCUGAUGCAGCAACGCCGUGUGCGGGAUGACGGCCUUCGGGUUGUAAACCGCUUUCGCUCAUGACGAAGCUUUGUGUGACGGUAGUGGGUAAAGAAGCACCGGCUAACUACGUG
rnacentral:rRNA from 1 species